rnacentral:rRNA from 1 species
UGACGGUACCUGACUAAGAAGCUCCGGCUAAAUACGUGCCAGCAGCCGCGGUAAUACGUAUGGAGCAAGCGUUAUCCGGAUUUACUGGGUGUAAAGGGUGCGUAGGCGGCAUGGCAAGUCAGAUGUGAAAGACCGGGGCUCAACUCCGGGGCUGCAUUUGAAACUGCCAGGCUUGAGUACAGGAGAGGCAGGCGGAAUUCCUAGUGUAGCGGUGAAAUGCGUAGAUAUUAGGAGGAACACCGGUGGCGAAGGCGGCCUGCUGGACUGUUACUGACGCUGAGGCACGAAAGCGUGGGGAGCAAACAGGAUUAGAUACCCUG